UUGAUAAAUUUCCUGGGGCUAGCUUUAACACGUCGAGACUUUGCCGAAAGAAUGAUUGACAUACCGGACAAAGAUUGUUUAGUUAAUGCCUUAAUUAUCAUAGUUAGAACUUAGAUUGAGUUAGGAUUAGGAGGUAAUCCCACUAACUCAGUCAGGGACCAAUUGGGCCCAAAUUAGGACUGAAUUGAGCCAAGAGAAAGGCCCAUUUGGUGACCCAAGCUAGGGCCGACGGUGGCACCGCUUAAGACUCAGUCUCCUAGGUUGUUUGGGUGAUGGUACUAUCGGUAGUUAAUGCUACCAAGCGGUGAUACCGCCCUAUUAGGCGAUGGUAAUACCAAAGCCUAGUCUCUGAGGCUUUGUCAGGCGGUAGUACCGCUAGACUGGGCGAUGGUACCGCCCAAUGCCAGAGUGUUAGGCAGUAGUACCGCCUAGUACUGGAGGUGGUACUACCUGUACCGUGAAAACCCGGGAUGAGACACUUUUUGGCUCCAAUUCUGAAGCCAUUGGGGCCUAUAAAUAUCUCAUUCCUUUCUACUUGGAAGGGUAUCAAACUGUGAAUAAAAUCUUGAAGUGUUAGGGUGUGAAAGAAUUGUAAAAGUGCUAAGUGUCCUCCUCUCUUUCUUCAGCCUUGUUAUCAUUAGAGAAGAGGUAUGAGGGUUGUAAGGGUUGUCUCCUAAACCCAAGAAAAGGAGAAAGCUUUGUAAGAAGGUGGUUGAUCUUCACCUAUUAAAGGAAGAUCAUUAGCAGACGCUAGUGACCUCAACAGAAGAAGAAUCAUAAGUGGAUGU
rnacentral:lncRNA from 1 species